rnacentral:lncRNA from 1 species
GCGGGUCUGGGCACGCGCCGGGCGGGCUUCCGCUGGGUCCCGGGGCGUGACAGAUUAAUUUGGUAUCAGAGCCUAGGGUUGAGUCUUAGGGGACCUAGUAAACCUUAGGCCAGUUGGACUAUAGGAAAUAGGCUCGUGAGAGACGAGGUCUAUUCGAUUUGUAAGCGAAAGUAUCUAGAUUGGGUAUCUUGAAUAACUCUAGAAAGUGGAGUUAAAUUGAAGUGUAUAACUCCUAACUUCGCGGAGGGUUACGU